AUGCAGUCGAACGAGAACGGGUUAUAGCUUGCUAUAAUUGUCAGCUAAGUGGCGCACGGGUGAGUAAUGUAUAGGUAAUAUGCCUCUUACUAAGGGAUAACAAAUGGAAACGUUUGCUAAUACCUUAUACUCCUUAUUAACAGAAGUUAAUAAGGGAAAGAUUUAUUGGUAAGAGAUUAGCCUGUAUUGUAUCAGUUAGUUGGUGGGGUAAUGGCUUACCAAGACUAUGACACAUAACUGGUUUGAGAGGAUGAUCAGUCACACUGGAACUGAGACACGGUCCAGACUCCUACGGGAGGCAGCAGUGGGGAAUAUUGCACAAUGGACGAAAGUCUGAUGCAGCAACGCCGCGUGGAGGAUGACACAUUUCGGUGCGUAAACUCCUUUUAUAUGAGAAGAUAAUGACGGUAUUAUAUGAAUAAGCACCGGCUAACUCCGUGCCAGCAGCCGCGGUAAUACGGGGGGUGCAAGCGUUACUCGGAAUCACUGGGCGUAAAGAGCAUGUAGGCGGAUUAAUAAGUUUGAAGUGAAAUCCUAUAGCUUAACUAUAGAACUGCUUUGAAAACUGUUAAUCUAGAAUGUGGGAGAGGUAGAUGGAAUUUCUGGUGUAGGGGUAAAAUCCGUAGAGAUCAGAAGGAAUACCGAUUGCGAAGGCGAUCUACUGGAACAUUAUUGACGCUGAGAUGCGAAAGCGUGGGGAGCAAACAGGAUUAGAUACCCUGGUAGUCACGCCCUAACGAUGUACACUAGUUGUGUGAGACUGAUCUGCAGUAUGCAGUUACACAUUAGUGUA
rnacentral:rRNA from 1 species